UACGGAGGAUGCAAGCGUUAUCCGGAUUCAUUGGGUUUAAAGGGUGCGUAGGCGGCUAUUUAAGUCAGUGGUGAAAUCCUGUCGCUUAACGAUAGAAUUGCCAUUGAUACUGAAUAGCUUGAGUACAAUUGAGGUAAGCGGAAUGUGUAGUGUAGCGGUGAAAUGCUUAGAUAUUACACAGAACACCAAUUGCGAAGGCAGCUUACUAAACUGUCACUGACGCUGAUGCACGAAAGCGUGGGGAGCGAACAGG
rnacentral:rRNA from 1 species